UUCAGAGCAUGGUCUCGGAAGAGAAAAUGUUUAAGAAGUUGUACCAAGAUUAUCCUCAAGCUUCACAAUUACAUUCCACAGCACCAAAAAAGACCUAUGGGAUAAAGACUACUCC